GAAAGCCGUGUGCAAUGAAAAAUGCAAGCACGGCUUGGGGAGGGUUUUUCCUUAUUUAAUUAACAUAACAAGGAAAUUAUCUACUCCAU
rnacentral:ncRNA from 1 species